AGUGGAGGCACCCAGGUGGUUCCCAGAGACCUCAAUUUCUAAAAGAAUGCUGCCCUUCUUUUCUCAAGAGAAGGCCUGGCUGAAAUGAAUGACACAAAUCAGUGAGGUAAACCUGUGGUCCCUUUGGUUUGGCCACCACCACGACCUCCUCAGAUGUUUUCUUCUUCCCAGCGGACUCUUCCAGCUUGGAUACAUGCUUGGUCAUGUUCUUCAGCUCAGGCGACUGCUGUUCAGGUGAGGAGAAUGAUCAAAGCCAGCAGAAUUAUGAGAAGGAGAUGAUUUUGAGGUUCUGGAUAAACCUUGUCCAAGAACAAACCUACCUUGGCAUUUUUACUCAGGAAGCUACGGCCAAAUUUCUUGAGGUUUUCGUAAGUUAUGUCAUCC